rnacentral:rRNA from 1 species
GACGAACGCUGGCGGCGUGCUUAACACAUGCAAGUCGAACGGAAAGGCCCUGCUUUUGUGGGGUGCUCGAGUGGCGAACGGGUGAGUAACACGUGAGUAACCUGCCCUUGACUUUGGGAUAACUUCAGGAAACUGGGGCUAAUACCGGAUAGGAGCUCCUGCUGCAUGGUGGGGGUUGGAAAGUUUCGGCGGUUGGGGAUGGACUCGCGGCUUAUCAGCUUGUUGGGGGGGUAGGGGCUUACCAAGGCUUUGAAGGGUAGCCGGCCUGAGAGGGGGGCCGGCCACAUUGGGACUGAGAUACGGCCCAGACUCCUACGGGAGGCAGCAGUGGGGAAUAUUGCACAAUGGGCGGAAGCCUGAUGCAGCAACGCCGCGUGCGGGAUGACGGCCUUCGGGUUGUAAACCGCUUUCGCCUGUGACGAAGCGUGAGUGACGGUAAUGGGUAAAGAAGCACCGGCUAACUACGUG